GACGAAUCGUACGAACGUUAUUCGGAAUUACUGGGCUUAAAGGGUGCGUAGGCGGCGCAGUAAGUUGGGUGUGAAAUCCCUCGGCUUAACCGAGGAAUUGCGCCCAAAACUACUGUGCUCGAGGGAGGUAGAGGUGAGCGGAACUUAGGGUGGAGCGGUGAAAUGCGUUGAUAUCCUAAGGAACACCGGUGGCGAAAGCGGCUCACUGGCCCGAUAUUGACGCUCAUGUACGAAAGCGUGGGGAGCAAACAGG
rnacentral:rRNA from 1 species